AAGUUGCUCAUGGGAAUAAAACAACGAGAAACGUCAUAGAAAGCCGGAGAGAGAGAGAGAGAGAGCGAGCACCAGACAUAGAAACAGGAAGUGUCUCAGGAGUAGUCGUACCAUGAAGUGCAUUUCUGUUUGAGACAUUUUAUUUAAGUUGUCCAUCUCAACCAUGUGGAACGUUUUGGUCCUCGUCACUUCUCUCAGCAUCUCAUCUCCACUUGCUGCAGGUCUGAUCAGAUUAGCCGGGCCUGGGUCGACCAGAUGUUCUGGAAGAGUUGAAAUCUACUACAGUGGUACGUGGGGAACGGUCUGUGACGAUGACUGGGACAAAAAUGAUGCUAACGUGGUUUGUAGACAGUUGGGCUGUGGGACAGCAACCAGGG